UACGUAGGCAGCGAGCGUUGUUCGGAGUUACUGGGCGUAAGGGUGUGUAGGCGGUUCUUUAAGUUUGGUGUGAAAUCGUCCCGGCUCAACCGGGAGGGUGCGCCGAAUACUGAGGGACUCGAGUGCGGGAGAGGAAGUGGAGUUCUGGUGUAGCGGUGAAAUGCGUAGAUAUCAGGAGGAACACCGGUGGUGUAGACGGCUUUCUGGACCGUAACUGACGCUGAGACACGGAAAGCGUGGGUAGCAAACAGG
rnacentral:rRNA from 1 species